GCCAAAACCCAUCAAGCGUCGCGCUGCAAGUUUGAGGACGCGACAGUUUCAUUAAUUCGGGAUUACGGAGACUUUCCGUCUAAUUUAUAUGGAUUAAGAUUGGUCUACUUAUUGCUUCUUACCUGCGCAUUGACAUUGGAGAUGUGUAGCUAGAGAAAUUUGUGAGAGGUCUGAACAUCUGUAUUCAAAUGGACAUGGAAGUGUCUACAGAACAGUGAAUCUGUCUGUUUUUGGGACGGGCCAGGCUGAAAGGAGUUUUUUUUAAUCAGAUCAUUUACUAAGAGAAACUAGAGACGUCCAGGGACCUGCGUUUGCCAGAGACACACCGGAGGAUUACGUUGCAGAUGACCAGUCAGGAUCCAGUCUGGCAUGAAGGAAGGAUUCAGAGUGCUGCUGAGCCAUGGAGACACAUGGAACCUGAUACCAAGACGUCUACAUCAGCGACAAUUCUAAAAUAACAAACAUGUCAGAAGUAUUUCUGUCACAUUCUCCUCUGCUCUCUCUGCCUCUGUUGAUUGUUUCUGACUCGCUGAAUUCACUGUGCAGCUGCUGGAACCAUCAGAGCCCACACGGCCAGGCCGAGUUCAUUAGCCUGCUUAAGGAGCCUGUCUCUGGGGCUCAGUGACCACAGUCCUCCCCUGCCUCCCUUCUCUACACUUAUCAAGAGUACG